GAUGAACGCUGGCGGCGUGCUUAACACAUGCAAGUCGAACGAUGAUAGAGGGAGCUUGCUUCUUCUGGAUUAGUGGCGAACGGGUGAGUAACACGUGAGUAACCUGCCCUUGACUCUGGGAUAAGCGUUGGAAACGACGUCUAAUACCGGAUACGAGCUUCAGCCGCAUGGCUAGGAGUUGGAAAGAAUUUUGGUCAAGGAUGGACUCGCGGCCUAUCAGGUAGUUGGUGAGGUAAUGGCUCACCAAGCCGACGACGGGUAGCCGGCCUGAGAGGGUGACCGGCCACACUGGGACUGAGACACGGCCCAGACUCCUACGGGAGGCAG
rnacentral:rRNA from 1 species